GUACAAGCCCUAGCAAGGUGAAACCGCGAAUGGCUCAUUAAAUCAGUUAUGGUUCCUUAGAUCGUACAACACUUACUUGGAUAACUGUAGUAAUUCUAGAGCUAAUACAUGCUUCAAAGCUCCGACCUCUCUGCAGGGACGAGCGCUUUUAUUAGACCAAAACCAGUCGGGUGGCUUCGGCCCCUGUCUACCCUUUGGUGACUCUGGAUAACUUUGUGCUGAUCGCACGGCCUCCGAGCCGGCGACGAAUCUUUCAAAUGUCUGCCCUAUCAAGUUUCGACGGUUGGUGACUUGCCAACCGUGCUGAUAACGGGUAGCGGGGAAUCAGGGUUCGAUUCCGGAGAGGGAGCAUGAGAAACGGCUACCACUUCCAAGGAAGGCAGCAGGCGCGCAAAUUACCCACUCCUAGUUCGGGGAGGUAGUGACGAAAAAUAACAAUACGGGACUCUUACGAGGCCCCGUAA
rnacentral:rRNA from 1 species